GUACCCUCAAGCUUUGCUUGGUGUUGGGCGUCUUGUCUCUAGUUUGCUGGAGACUCGCCUUAAAGUCAUUGGCAGCCGGCCUACUGGUUUCGGAGCGCAGCACAAGUCGCGCUCUCUUCCAGCAAAGGUCAGUAUCCACAAAGCCUUUUUUUCAAC
rnacentral:misc_RNA from 1 species